rnacentral:tRNA from 1 species
CGCCAGAUAGCUCAGUUGGUAGAGCACCUGACUAGAAUUUUAGAUGGCCCGGGUUUGAAUCCCGGUCUGGUCC